GACGAACGCUGGCGGCGUGCUUAACACAUGCAAGUCGAACGGAAAGGCCCUGCUUUUGUGGGGUGCUCGAGUGGCGAACGGGUGAGUAACACGUGAGUAACCUGUCCUUGACUUUGGGAUAACUUCAGGAAACUGGGGCUAAUACUGGAUAGGAGCUCCUGCUGCAUGGUGGGGGUUGGAAAGUUUCGGCGGUUGGGGAUGGACUCGCGGCUUAUCAGCUUGUUGGUGGGGUAGUGGCUUACCAAGGCUUUGACGGGUAGCCGGCCUGAGAGGGUGACCGGCCACAUUGGGACUGCGAUACGGCCCAGACUCGUGCGGGAGGCAGCAGUGGGGAAUAUUGCACGAUGGGCGGAAGCCUGAUGCAGCAACGCCGCGUGCGGGAUGACGGCCUUCGGGUUGUAAACCGCUUUCGCCUGUGACGAAGCGUGAGUGACGGUAAUGGGUAAAGAAGCACCGGCUAACUACGUG
rnacentral:rRNA from 1 species